rnacentral:rRNA from 1 species
UACGUAGGGGGCAAGCGUUGUCCGGAUUUAUUGGGCGUAAAGCGCGUGUAGGCGGCCAUACAGGUCCGUUGUGAAAACUCGAGGCUUAACCUCGAGACGUCGAUGGAAACCGUAUGGCUAGAGUCCGGAAGAGGAGAGUGGAAUUCCUGGUGUAGCGGUGAAAUGCGCAGAUAUCAGGAAGAACACCCGUGGCGAAAGCGGCUCUCUGGAACGGUACUGACGCUGAGACGCGAAAGCGUGGGGAGCGAACAGG